AAAAAAAAGAAAAGAAAAAAGAAAAAAAAAAAAGAAAAAGAUAAUGCCUUUGGUACUUGGUAACAUUUGUGAAAUUGUAUCUCCUUUCAGUUUUUGUUGAGAAACUAAUGGUGUUCAUGGGAGAAAUUGAAGCAUUCUGUUUCCAUGGUUGCAGCGGUCAAGCCAAGGAAUAAUAUUAGAAGAGUUGAUUAAUCACCUCAUGAGUAUUCUUGGUCACGUAAUGCAGCUCAAAACAUUGAAGGAUUCAUAUUACCUGCUGUGGAGCACAGGUCAAGGGCAUUGAGUACAGAGUAUAACUCUCUCCCAAACGAAUCUUCCCAACCAUUUGACUGUGAUUGAGAUGAAUUUGUGUAAGCUAUCACUCCUGGUAUCUCUUUCCCUUUGUUCCAUUUAACAUGAUUCUCUGAUUCAUAUGUAGUUUUUCUCAUAGAUGACAUUGCUGAUGACAGGAAGAGGUUAAAACCUCUUAAAAUCCCUCAUUGAGUUGAUUUUAUCUAGUUUUCUUAAUCAUAAGAAGCAUAUGAUUGAUUAAUAUCUUUGGUUUCAUAGCAUGAUCUCGAGAGCUAAUGUGAAUCCUCCGCGAUUGAGGAAUUCAUGAUUUCGACGUGAUUGAUGACAAGCGAUGAGUACAUAGUCCACUUCAGCUUAUGGGCUAUUUCAAAGGUAUUAUAGAGGUUUCCAUAUCAUGCACCACCAUGUGGGUAUGUUUGUAGUUUGGCUGAUGUGCAGUUGUGUAGAAGACUAGAGGCUGGAUGUUUGGGCUCACAAGGUUGGUGUUUGCUGUAUGUAUGGAUUUAUGGGUGGUUGUCUUAUUGUUGUAUGUUGUGUGCUAUAGGGCUGUUAGGAGGGUGGAUUGUAAAAGUCAGGGGUGUGCCGGCGGAGGUAUGUCUAUAGAGUAGGGGUUCGGGCCCCCCUUCUGUUUUAUAUCUAGGUGUGGCUUCACGCAAUGGCUGUUGUAGGCCUUCUACAGUUUGUUGUUAUCUUGCAAUCUAGCAUGAAAUCAGCACUCAAGGAAGACCUUUACUGGUGUGCUGCAACCCUAUACUUUUUCAACAAACAGGUGAUGAGUUCUCAAAUAGAACAAAUACCUGCACACACAUACCAAUAAUAAAACAAUACAUGCAUAAAGAAUUUCAAGAGCAUGCUUGAUAUAGGGAAUGACACUCUCUACCUGAGUUUUUCUCGUAGGCAAAUAAAUAGCUUUGCAAAUAAUCCACUGUCUCAUGAGUUGCUUUCACUGUUCCACAUGAAAAUCUUCCAUUGAAACUCUCAAGAUCUUUUUAGAAUGCUGAAAUUUUUAUUGAAAAUUAAUUGAAAGAAGGAAAGUUAUCCAUUAAGAUAAUGGACAACUAUUGCCAAUUAGAAGAGAGUCCCUUACUUUCAAAUAGCUAUCAAAUUAUUAAAUAACCAUUUUGAGUUCAGGAGUUUUUCAGAUAGCUCUUCUUGAUCUUGAUAAAGCUCUUUUCUUCUGAUUGUUUAAGCUAUUUAGAAACUGAAAUGCUUGCAAUGGCUCUUGUUUUAGUGGUAUGCUGGGAAUGGGAUUCUUUUGAAUAUCUAAUCUGAAUCCUUAUUUUAUCAUUAACAGUCGACAGAUGUAUUUGCAUCUGUUAUGACA